CUCAACGUGCAAUUAUCACCUGAGCGAUAAACAAACAACUCGCUGAUUAGGUGUUAUCAAGGAUGAUAAUGAUGUUGUUUCCAAUUUGGAUGCGUUGAUGAUUUGUAUUGUUCACAAGUCCCUAUAAGUCUUGUAAUGGAUAGUUUACGAGGUGAAUUUGAAGAAUCAAUGUGGGUGUACCUAAGGGAACAGUACUUGGUCCGAUCCUUUAUCUUGCUUACAUAAACGCAAGAACACACAUGAAUAAAUUAGACGAUCAUAUAAUGGGUCUUGUUAUUGAGAUGGGAAAAACAAGUACCAUAUGUAAUAUAAAGGAUGAGACUACUUAUUUUCAAUAUAUCAGUCUUUAGCAUUAUCCAUAAUGAUAUUGUAUAAUAGCAUGGGGCGAUAAAUUGGAUAGGGCUUUUGUGGCCGAGAUUUCCAGUGGAAUUGCAGCUCCAAACUACGACAGCUUUCAAACCCGAAUGGAGAUAGUAACACUAAUAGCAUGGGAUGUUAAUAGCUUACAAAUAGCACAUAACUCAAUUUUGAGAAUUAAAAAAAAUACUUUUUUAGUGGAUCAUCUAUAGCAAAGGACUAAUUUACUCAUCGUAAGAUUAUGAAAUAGUUAUACCAGUGUCUAGUAUGGAUGUUCUCGAACUUUAACAACUAUCUAACUCAUACAACAGUGAGACCUAGAGCAGUUGAGAAUACACAAAGAUUCUUGUUCUGUUAUGGUCCAAAAUUGUACAACCUACUCCCAUUAGAAUUGAAAACGGCGAAAAAAAUUAUUAAAUUCAAAUAUGCACUCUAGCGAUUCAUAAUCGAAAACUCAAAAAAAUUAACAUAUACUGAAAAAAGAAAUAAAUUUCCUACAUAGAAUAACAAUUCCUAUACCAUCUGUAUCUUUUCUUAUACAAGCAUAUACUCAACUUAUAUCUACUUGUUUUUGUUUUCCCUAUGAGUUUUGAAUUUUAUUUUUAGUAAUUGUAUUACUAUAUAGGUUGGGGUUUUCAUACAUAUGAUUGUACAUAUAUAACUCUUAUCUGAAUGAGUAAUAUACCACACUUAAGGCAUUCCAAUGCCUAGGAGGAAGUUACUCGUUAAAGAUAAUUGAAAUCUAACGAUUAUGUAUAUUAUCUUGAAAAUAAAUUUGAUUUGAUUUGAAAUGAUUAA